UGGGCAACGGGGAUCAUCUGCACCUGUAAUUCCCAAAUGCAAAAUAGAUAAAUAAGUCCUAAAUUAACAUUUAGAAUUAGUAUUUAAGCAGCAAGUGAAAAGACUUGCGAAGUUGCACACAACAAACAAAUUCUGCUGAAAAUCAAUUCAAAACUGGACCUAUCAAUCAACAUGGAUACGACAAGGAAUGAUUUGGAAAUGCCACACAAGGAAUCAUAGAUGAUUAAAUCUUCAAGAGAAAGAAAGCAUGACGUGGCAUAAAUCAGGAUCGUUUCAAAACACCCAGAUAAUUUGCCCAUAAACAACCCUGUCCACAUGCCAAUGGUUAGAUUAGAUGAAUUCAGAAAUAACUUUUAAUGCUUUCACAGGUAUUUUGAUCUGUGCCUGCAACGAACUUUUAAGGAAAAUUGCUAAUUAAGGUGUGCUGUUUUGUUAUUGGAGAGAAGAAAAGAAUUUACCGUUGAGAAUUAGCAGCGGACG
rnacentral:misc_RNA from 1 species